rnacentral:rRNA from 1 species
AGUGAACGCUGGCGGUAGGCCUAACACAUGCAAGUCGAACGGCAGCACAGUAAGAGCUUGUUCUUACGGGUGGCGAGUGGCGGACGGGUGCGGAAUACAUCGGAAUCUACUUUUUCGUGGGGGCUAAAGUAGGGACACUUACGCUAAUACCGCAUACGACGUACGGGUGGGAGCAGGGGAUCUUCGGCCCUUGGGCGAUUCAAUGAGCCGAUGUCGGAUUAGCUAGUUGGCGGGGUAAAGGCCCACCAAGGCGACGAUCCGUAGCUGGUCUGAGAGGAUGAUCAGCCACACUGGAACUGAGACACGGUCCAGACUCCUACGGGAGGCAGCAGUGGGGAAUAUUGGACAAUGGGCGCAAGCCUGAUCCAGCCAUACCGCGUGUGUGAAGAAGGCCUUCGGGUUGUAAAGCCCUUUUGUUGGGAAAGAAAAGCAGCAGGUUAAUACCUCGCUGUUCUGACGGUACCCAAAGAAUAAGCACCGGCUAACUUCGUG